AUGAUCUUAAGCCCCUGCGAAGCCAACAGUGAAACCAGCCCCACCGAAAAACCCAGAAUCAGGAUUUGAUCUUUCAGAUGCCUUCGAUUUGGACCCUAAAAAACCUGCAGUGGUUCCCCCCAAAUCAGAAGAUGAUAAAAAGAAACCAUCUGGAGGUGACUUCGAUCUGUCUGACGCAUUUGGUCCAGAUACUGAGCCCAAAAAGCCUGUGGUCCCACCCAAAGAGAGAGGAACUGGUGGUGGAACUUUUGAUGACAAAGACCUCUUUGAUGUGAACGAAGGGGGUGAAUACAAGCCCGAUGGAGGCCAAAGUGGAGGACGAGCAGGAGAUGUUCCUCAGUCUAAUGAAAAUGGUGGAGCCUCUAAUCAACCUCAAGGCGGAGCCAUGACUGCCAUCAUCAGUUCUGUGGGUGUUGCUCUCCUCGGUGCCGCCUCAAGUUACUUUGCUUACCAGAAAAAGAAACUGUGUUUCAAAGUACAAGGAGGGGAGGAUCCAGAGAGUGGCAAAACCCGUGGUACUCAGUCUGAUCCUCAAGUUUUCAGCAACCUGCUCCGUUCAUCGUAACUGCGUUGGAUCUGCACACUGAAAGUAUAUAUGCACACUGAGCAUGUACAGCUAUGGAGAGCCUAACCCUAUGGGAAACAUCUGUUACAUGAAAGGCUGGUUUAAAACUAAUGUUUUAAGAA